UUGGUUAAGUUAGAAAGGGCGCACGGUGGAUGCCUUGGCACUAGGAGCCGAAGAAGGACGGGACUAACACCGAUAUGCUUUGGGGAGCUGUACGUAAGCGUUGAUCCAGAGAUUUCCGAAUGGGGAAACCCACUAUCUUUAGUCGGAUAGUAUCCUUACGUGAAUACAUAGCGUGAGGAAGGCAGACCCAGGGAACUGAAACAUCUAAGUACCUGGAGGAAGAGAAAGAAAAAUCGAUUUCCUGAGUAGCGGCGAGCGAAACGGAAAGAGCCCAAACCAAGAAGCUUGCUUCUUGGGGUUGUAGGACACUCUAUACGGAGUUACAAAAGAAAGUUAUAAAUGAAGCGGUCUGGAAAGGCCCGCCAAAGACGGUAACAGCCCGGUAGUUGAAAUGGCUUUCCCUCCAGAGUGGAUCCUGAGUACGGCGGAACACGUGAAAUUCCGUCGGAAUCCGGGAGGACCAUCUCCCAAGGCUAAAUACUCCCUAGUGACCGAUAGUGAACCAGUACCGUGAGGGAAAGGUGAAAAGCACCCCGGAAGGGGAGUGAAACAGUUCCUGAAACCGUGUGCCUACAAGUAGUUAGAGCCCGUUAAUGGGUGAUAGCGUGCCUUUUGUAGAAUGAACCGGCGAGUUACGAUUUGUUGCAAGGUUAAGCGGAAAAAGCGGAGCCGUAGCGAAAGCGAGUCUGAAUAGGGCGCAUAAGUAACAGGUCGUAGACCCGAAACCAGGUGAUCUACCCAUGUCCAGGAUGAAGGUAAGGUAAUACUUACUGGAGGUCCGAACCCACGCACGUUGAAAAGUGCGGGGAUGAGGUGUGGGUAGCGGAGAAAUUCCAAUCGAACUUGGAGAUAGCUGGUUCUCUCCGAAAUAGCUUUAGGGCUAGCCUCGAGGUAAAGAGUCAUGGAGGUAGAGCACUGUUUGGACUAGGGGCCCUUCUCGGGUUACCGAAUUCAGAUAAACUCCGAAUGCCAUGUACUUAUACUCGGGAGUCAGACUGCGAGUGAUAAGAUCCGUAGUCGAAAGGGAAACAGCCCAGACCACCAGUUAAGGUCCCCAAAUAUAUGUUAAGUGGAAAAGGAUGUGGGGUUGCUUAGACAACCAGGAUGUUGGCUUAGAAGCAGCCACCAUUGAAAGAGUGCGUAAUAGCUCACUGGUCGAGUGACCCCGCGCCGAAAAUGUACCGGGGCUAAACAUAUUACCGAAACUGUGGAUGAACCUCUUUAGAGGUUCGUGGUAGGAGAGCGUUCUAAGGGCGGUGAAGUCAGACCGGAAGGACUGGUGGAGCGCUUAGAAGUGAGAAUGCCGGUAUGAGUAGCGAAAGAAGGGUGAGAAUCCCUUCCACCGAAUAUCUAAGGUUUCCUGAGGAAGGCUCGUCCGCUCAGGGUUAGUCGGGACCUAAGCCGAGGCCGAUAGGCGUAGGCGAUGGACAACAGGUAGAGAUUCCUGUACCAGUGCUAAUUGUUUAACCGAUGGGGUGACACAGAAGGAUAGGGAAUCGCACGAAUGGAAAUGUGCGUCCAAGCAGUGAGUGUGAGAAGUAGGCAAAUCCGCUUCUCGCGAAGCAUGAGCUGUGAUGGGGAAGGAAAUUAAGUACGGAAGUUCCUGAUUUCACGCUGUCAAGAAAAGCCUCUAGGAAGAGUAGUACUGCCCGUACCGCAAACCGACACAGGUAGAUGAGGAGAGAAUCCUAAGGUGAGCGAGAGAACUCUCGUUAAGGAACUCGGCAAAAUGACCCCGUAACUUCGGGAGAAGGGGUGCUCUAUUAGGGUGCAAGCCCGAGAGAGCCGCAGUGAAUAGGCCCAGGCGACUGUUUAGCAAAAACACAGGUCUCUGCAAAACCGUAAGGUGACGUAUAGGGGCUGACGCCUGCCCGGUGCUGGAAGGUUAAGAGGAGUGCUUAGCUUCGGCGAAGGUACGAAUUGAAGCCCCAGUAAACGGCGGCCGUAACUAUAACGGUCCUAAGGUAGCGAAAUUCCUUGUCGGGUAAGUUCCGACCCGCACGAAAGGCGCAACGAUCUGGGCACUGUCUCAACGAGAGACUCGGUGAAAUUAUAGUACCUGUGAAGAUGCAGGUUACCCGCGACAGGACGGAAAGACCCCGUGGAGCUUUACUGCAACCUGAUAUGGAAUGUUUGUACCGCUUGUACAGGAUAGGUAGGAGCCGAAGAGACGUGUGCGCUAGCAUACGAGGAGGCAAUGGUGGGAUACUACCCUGGCUGUAUGACCAUUCUAACCCGCCACGCUUAGCGCGUGGGGAGACAGUGUCAGGUGGGCAGUUUGACUGGGGCGGUCGCCUCCUAAAGAGUAACGGAGGCGCCCAAAGGUUCCCUCAGAAUGGAUGGAAAUCAUUCGCAGAGUGUAAAGGCACAAGGGAGCUUGANGGAGGCGCCCAAAGGUUCCCUCAGAAUGGAUGGAAAUCAUUCGCAGAGUGUAAAGGCACAAGGGAGCUUGACUGCGAGACUGACAAGUCGAGCAGGGACGAAAGUCGGGCUUAGUGAUCCGGUGGUUCCGCAUGGAAGGGCCAUCGCUCAACGGAUAAAAGCUACCCCGGGGAUAACAGGCUUAUCUCCCCCAAGAGUCCACAUCGACGGGGAGGUUUGGCACCUCGAUGUCGGCUCGUCGCAUCCUGGGGCUGUAGUCGGUCCCAAGGGUUGGGCUGUUCGCCCAUUAAAGCGGCACGCGAGCUGGGUUCAGAACGUCGUGAGACAGUUCGGUCCCUAUCCGUCGCGGGCGCAGGAAAUUUGAGAGGAGCUGUCCUUAGUACGAGAGGACCGGGAUGGACACACCGCUGGUGUACCAGUUGUUCCGCCAGGAGCAUCGCUGGGUAGCUAUGUGUGGCAGGGAUAAACGCUGAAAGCAUCUAAGCGUGAAGCCCCCCUCAAGAUGAGAUUUCCCAUUUCUUCGGAAAGUAAGAUCCCUGAAAGAUGAUCAGGUAGAUAGGUUUGGAGUGGAAGUGUAGCGAUACAUGGAGCGGACAAAUACUAAUCGAUCGAGGACUUAACCAAAA
rnacentral:rRNA from 1 species